rnacentral:rRNA from 1 species
ACGAGAGGACCGGAGUGGACGCAUCACUGGUGUUCGGGUUGUCAUGCCAAUGGCACUGCCCGGUAGCUAAAUGCGGAAGAGAUAAGUGCUGAAAGCAUCUAAGCACGAAACUUGCCCCGAGAUGAGUUCUCCCUGAGACUUAGAGUCUCCUGAAGGAACGUUGAAGACGACGACGUUGAUAGGCCGGGUGUGUAAGCGCAGCGAUGCGUUGAGCUAACCGGUACUAAUGAACCGUGAGGCUUAACCUUAC